rnacentral:rRNA from 1 species
UACGUAGGGUGCAAGCGUUAAUCGGAAUUACUGGGCGUAAAGCGCGCGCAGGCGGUUUUGUAAGACAGAUGUGAAAUCCCCGGGCUCAACCUGGGAAUGGCAGUGGAAACUGGCUCGCUGGAGUGUGGCAGAGGGGGGUGGAAUUCCGCGUGUAGCAGUGAAAUGCGUAGAGAUGCGGAGGAACACCGAUGGCGAAGGCAGCCCCCUGGGCCAACACUGACGCUCAGGCACGAAAGCGUGGGGAGCAAACAGG